CUUGCUUAGAGUAAAGAGGGAAGAGUGCGCUGAAGAGUAGGACAGCCCGCCACCCCAGGCCCCGGUCUCCCGGUGGUCGAUGGGUGGCCAUGGAUCUAUACCUCCACAGCUGCUAGCCCACAGAAACACCCAGUUCCAGAAAUUGGAGUGGCUCGCCUGUUGGAUCUGCCUCUUGGGGUCAAGCUGCCUGUUUUGCCAGGAAGCACUAAUGUAUUCUAUACUACAAAUAUAAGUGAAAAGCUUUAUCAACCUUCUUUGGGGUUUAACCUUGCUGAUCCUUACUGCCAGCUUUUGGAAACAACCUAUAAAAGCCUUCACGAUCCACACUUAAAAACAUGCUACCAGCGAAAAGGUAUGCUGAGGAGAUUAAGAAGAGGUCAUAUGUUCUUUGAGUGAAUUUAAUAAGUACCAGCAAUAUCUGACCAGUUUAAAAAUAGACUUUGAAAGAGAAUAUAUAAGAGAACAUAGAAUUAUUAAGAUUCUUGUAAACAAACUGCAUGAAGGCCAAAAAGUCUAUGACAAUUGUGAUGCUGCAAAAUUCCAAGAAUGCUACAGAAAGGAACACAGACAACUCCAGACCAAGAGCAGGCAAUAAAACGCAGAUAUUUAGAUAUGAUUAGUAAGGAAAUAGACAAGACUGAAGACACAACAGAAAACCUGAGUAUGCUCCAGAUGAAGAAAGAAAAAGACUAUAUCAGGACCACAUAAGAUGAAAACUUAAUCUACAUGGACAAAUUGAGGAGAAACAAGCAUAUCUAGAGAAAAAAAUUGCAUACCAUUUGCAAAAAAUGCAAAGAAAUGAAUACAAAGAAGAAUCAGAGGGAAGUACCUUUGAAAACAAAGGCCAAGAUGUGACAGAAUCAGUUCACUUUCCUAAAAGUAAUAACAAGAUUUCUGCUCAGAAAUUAUCCACCUCAUUACCCUCUAAGCAGGAUGUACAGAAUAACGCAAUAGAACAAAAGGAAUAAAAAGUGCCUUCAUUCAUUUUGAAGUUGUUACUUCUAAACCAAGUGUCCCCAGACAAUCUCUACCGAGUAUUCCAGAGCAAGCAACAAGGAAAACUUCUUUCUUACCAGAUGCAGACAGAACCAAAAAAGUGAUUUGUGCUGAUUUAAUUAGGAAGAAGACCAAGAAAUCAAGCAACAGUCAUAAGUCAGGUAAACAUUAAUAAUUGUUAUUAAGCAAAUCUUGUAGUCCACUAAUUCAUUCACUCAGAUAACAUUUAUUGGGCUUCUACUACACACCAGGCACUGUGUCAAUUAUUGAACAAACAAAAUAGCA